rnacentral:rRNA from 1 species
UACGUAGGGUGCGAGCGUUGUCCGGAGUUAUUGGGCGUAAAGAGCUCGUAGGCGGUUUGUCGCGUCGGCCGUGAAAUCUCCACGCUUAACGUGGAGCGUGCGGUCGAUACGGGCAGACUUGAGUUCGGUAGGGGAGACUGGAACUCCUGGUGUAGCGGUGAAAUGCGCAGAUAUCAGGAGGAACACCGGUGGCGAAGGCGGGUCUCUGGGCCGAUACUGACGCUGAGGAGCGAAAGCGUGGGGAGCGAACAGG